rnacentral:ncRNA from 1 species
AGUAAGGGUAGAGGUGCAAUAAUCAUUAGUAGAUGCAGGGAGAAGCGGAGGCUUCGGUGAAUCGCAUCGAAAGGGGACAUUGCCGAAGUGGCAGAAGCCUCAUGAUUCUGACCGCUGGUUCUGGUAUUUAAAAGAUGCAGAACUGUCAUAUAGGAGACUAUAUGGAGGGCUAUCUUACGG